rnacentral:lncRNA from 1 species
CUUCAAGCCGGUUAUGGAGCACCCUCCGUGCAGCCACUCGUAGCUGUGCAGGACUGGUAGCAGGACCGAUCGCCAACUUUUGGAGUUUCCCACGGGUGUCUGGAGCACUUCUGAGAUCUGAAACACGGAUUCAGGAUCACUGUACUGCCCCGGGCCUCCAGGUCCCAGUUUGUGUAUCGCCUGAGGCAGUCCUGCGGCCUCUGGAACAAAGUGCGUGUUUGUGGUGGGGCGGUGGUCGGGGGGAGGGGGGUUGGGGGGUCGUUGGGGUGGGCGGGGAAGGGCGGCGCGGCUUUCCCCAGGGCCCUAUUGGACCUGUCUGAAUUUAGGCCAUUUAAUGGGUGGCCGGCUUACUCUUUUCAUGGCUUUCAGAAGCAGACCCCGAAAAUAUCCUCCCUUUCCUCCAUCCCCAGGAUCAGUGGGAUUCCACCCUGCCUCGGUCUCUGGCACAGCCUGUCCACCAGGCCUGCGGAUGUCCGAUCCUGGGUCAUCUUCCUUACCCGCUUGUUCCCUGGCUUCGAACGGAACGGAUGACUUUGCCUCAGCCAUGACGAGUGUAGUCAACAGGCUUGGAAUAUCUGCCCAGGUGGGAUCACGAGUGCAGAAGAUUCCCUUCGUCGGGCUUAUGAACUCCUCUGGCUUCCAGCCGGUUAUGGAGCACCCACCGUGCAGCCACUCGUAGCUGUGCAGGACUGGUAGCGGGACCGAUCGCCAACUUUUGGAGUUUCCCACGGGUGUCUGGAGCACUUCUGAGAUCUGAAACACGGAUUCAGGAUCACUGUACUGCCCCGGGCCUCCAGGUCCCAGUUUGUGUAUCGCCUGAGGCAGUCCUGCGGCCUCUGGAACAAAGUGCGUGUUUGUGGCGGGGCGGUGGGCGGUGGGCGGUAGGGGGAGUUGGGGGGGUCGUUGGGGUGGCGGGGCGGGGGGGGCGGCGCGGCGCGGCUUUCCCCAGGGCCCUAUUGGACCUGUCUGAAUUUAGGCCAUUUAAUGGGUGGCCGGCUUACUCUUUUCAUGGCUUUCAGAAGCAGACCCCGAAAAUAUCCUCCCUUUCCUCCAUCCCCAGGAUCAGUGGGAUUCCCACCCUGCCUCGGUCUCUGGCACAGCCUGUCCACCAGGCCUGCGGAUGUCCGAUCCUGGGUCAUCUUCCUUACCCGCUUGUUCCCUGGCUUUGAACGGAACGGAUGACUUUGCCUCAGGCAUGCUAACCUUCUCCUCCAGAAGCCCACAAUUCGUAUGGGGUGAGAAUUCAUAUGGAGUAAGUAUAAUAAUAUUGCUAAUAACGUUAUGUUUAUUAUUAAUAGCUAACAAUUAUAUAGUGCUUCCUAUAUUCCAAGCAAUCUUCU